AGUGAACGCUGGCGGUAGGCCUAACACAUGCAAGUCGAACGGCAGCACAGUAAGAGCUUGCUCUUACGGGUGGCGAGUGGCGGACGGGUGAGGAAUACAUCGGAAUCUACUUUUUCGUGGGGGAUAACGUAGGGACACUUACGCUAAUACCGCAUACGACCUACGGGUGAAAGCAGGGGAUCUUCGGACCUUGCGCGAUUGAAUGAGCCGAUGUCGGAUUAGCUAGUUGGCGGGGUAAAGGCCCACCAAGGCGACGAUCCGUAGCUGAUCUGAGAGGAUGAUCAGCCACACUGGAACUGAGACACGGUCCAGACUCCUACGGGAGGCAGCAGUGGGGAAUAUUGGACAAUGGGCGCAAGCCUGAUCCAGCCAUACCGCGUGGGUGAAGAAGGCCUUCGGGUUGUAAAGCCCUUUUGUUGGGAAAGAAAAGCAGCAGGUUAAUACCCCGCUGUUCUGACGGUACCCAAAGAAUAAGCACCGGCUAACUUCGUG
rnacentral:rRNA from 1 species